AAGGAUUACAGUGGAAGGAGAGCCAGCAUUCACCUAAAUACCAAAGCAAACUGAUAUGACUUAUGGAUAUUACUUUCAAUAGGAAAGCAGGGUUAAUUGGCAAUCCCAGGGUUAGCAACAGGAUAACUUUCAAAUAAUGGGCUAGCCAAUGCUUGGGGUAUCAGCCAUUUCGCAUA